CACUCCCCUCCUCUUCCUCCUCUAUCUCAUGAAAGCUUUCAUUAUAUCAAUUAUUUGUGCAUCUCACUUAUUUAUUUCAGUGUCACAGGGAACAGUGCUGAUCUUGGCGAUGACUAGCCUGUGCAUUGUCCUGGCUGUCGUGUUAGUACUCUGUCUCAUCUGGACAUGCCGGAAACAUAAACAACAGAGUUCAAAGGGAACUCUAGGCAGGACCAGACAGAAGAAUCACCC